rnacentral:rRNA from 1 species
CCUACGGGAGGCAGCAGUGAGGAAUAUUGGUCAAUGGCCGGAAGGCUGAACCAGCCAUGCCGCGUGAAGGUCAGUGCCCUAUGGGCGUUAAACGUCAUAUGUGCGGGAGCAAUAAUGGUCACGUGUGGCCAGACGAGAGUACCGUACGAAUAAGCAUCGGCUAACUCCGGGCCAGCAGCCGCGGUAAUACGGGGGAUGCAAGCGUUAUCCGGAGUUAUUGGGUUUAAAGGGUGCGUAGGCUGGGAGGUAAGUCAGCGGUGAAAUGCCCCCGCUCAACGGGGUGAAGUGCCAUUGAUACUGCCUGGCUGGAAUGCGGAUGCCGUGGGAGGAAUGUGUGGUGUAGCGGUGAAAUGCAUAGAUAUCACACAGAACACCGAUUGCGAAGGCAUCUCACGAAUCCGCGAUUGACGCUGAUGCACGAAAGCGUGGGUAUCAAACAGGAUUAGAUACCCCUGUAGUC